AAAAGUACUCUGCAAAAAUCUCUGUUCAGGGCAGUAUGCCCGGUGAUGAUAUACUGAGAGCUGUAAUGCGCAGCCACCAAUUUCAAGCUCACCGAUUUUUCAAACUCUAUCGCGACCUCUCCAGAGGCUACAUGCAUUCGCAUUUCGAUCUCUCCCGCCACUUUUUCAUUUAUAUCUCUCCGCUUCUUGUUACACAUUAACUCUCCAAUCUUUGUUCCCUCGAUUCGAUUCAGGUGGCGGUGGUCUACUAGGUUUUGGCUCUUUUGGGCGACCAUGAUUUCAGGCCAAUGGGUGCUUCCAGUUCAGUACUCUAUACUCUAUACUUAUGAUUGAGGAUUUCACAUGAGAUAAUAAUUGAGCAUUGUUGAUAUUUUUCUCGUCUGCUUCUCUGCUUAUAAAUCUUUAUGUUUUGGUAAUCUUUGAAUCUUUGCUGAAUGAUACAUUGUUGAUAGUGCAGUGUAAGAAAUUUAUGAAUAAAGUGAUGUGUUUCAGAUUGUUGAUUGUUGAGUGAUACAUUUUUCAUUUUUGAUAAUACAGUGUAAGAAAUUUAUGAUUGAAUAAAUGUUUGAAUCUUUGUUGAA